ACGGAACUAGCUUGCUGGUUGCUGACGAGUGGCGGACGGGUGAGUAAUACUUAGGGAUCUGCCUCUGUGUGGGGGAUAACUAUUGGAAACGAUAGCUAAUACCGCAUAAUGUCUACGGACCAAAGAGGGCUUCGGCUCUCGCGCAGAGAGGAACCUAAGCGAGAUUAGCUUGUUGGUGAGGUAAAGGCUCACCAAGGCGACGAUCUCUAGCUGUUCUGAGAGGAAGAUCAGCCACACUGGAACUGAGACACGGUCCAGACUCCUACGGGAGGCAGCAGUGGGGAAUAUUGCACAAUGGGGGAAACCCUGAUGCAGCCAUGCCGCGUGUGUGAAGAAGGCCUUCGGGUUGUAAAGCACUUUCAGUUGUGAGGAAAAGUUAGUAGUUAAUACCUGCUAGCUGUGACGUUAACAACAGAAGAAGCACCGGCUAACUCCGUGCCAGCAGCCGCGGUAAUACGGAGGGUGCGAGCGUUAAUCGGAAUUACUGGGCGUAAAGCGCACGCAGGCGGUCUGUUAAGCUAGAUGUGAAAGCCCCGCGCUCAACGUGGGAGGGUCAUUUAGAACUGGCAGACUAGAGUCUUGGAGAGGGGAGUGGAAUUCCAGGUGUAGCGGUGAAAUGCGUAGAGAUCUGGAGGAACAUCAAUGGCGAAGGCAACUCCCUGGCCCAAGACUGACGCUCAUGUGCGAAAGUGUGGGUAGCGAACAGGAAUAGAUACCCUGGUAGUCCCCCACGUAAACGCUGUCUACUAACUGGUUUGGGGAUUAAUUCGGGAGUAGCGAAGCUAACGCCAUAAAUAAACCGCCUUGGG
rnacentral:rRNA from 1 species